CAAUUCCCGAGGUGUUGGAACGGUUCAAACUGACCAUAGCUUCAAUCACAUUCCCUUCAUUCAUUCUUGAUUCUCUGGUCUGAUUGAGCCGCGCCAAUAUCGCGUGCCUUCUG
rnacentral:pre_miRNA from 1 species